UUCCUGGGUCCCCAGUGCAGGCCUCAGAUGAGCCCACAGUAUUUUUCUUAUAUGAUCAGACCCCAUUGUGAGCCUGAGAGAACUAUGAAAAUGUGGCAGGAGAAAUGGGGCUGGGAACCCAGCA
ensembl:snoRNA